UUCUACCUCUCUCCUCAAACACUCUCUCUCUCCUAAACUCCCUGCUUCUUCCUCUCUCCUCAAACCCGAUCCAGUUUCUGCCUCUCUCUCCUCAACCUCGCCGCUCAAAUUUUCCUCCGGCAAGGUUCUUGCAAAAAAAUUCGGUUUGUAAAUGAGGUUUCGACAACGGAAGAGGGAGAAUCGGGGUCGUAGAAGAGGUGGAGGAGGGUGUCGGAGGUGGAAGCGUCAUUGAAACCGCCGGCGUCGCACCCUUGCUACUGUCGCAAUCGAAGCAUCUAUUUCGAAAUCCUUGGAAAGGGAAGCUUGACGGCGGAGGUUUCUGGAGAAACUAAAUUGACGGCGGCGAGGUGGAGGAAGGAGGCGGGACUGUUAGUCGGAGUUCUCCUUGUUUGGAUCAUUGGCUAAUGUGGGAGCAAUGGUUGGUGCAAUUGCUAGUGGUCAGAUUUCUGAAUACAUUGGGCGCAUAGGGGUAUGAAAUUUUAU